rnacentral:rRNA from 1 species
CCUUUAGAGUUUGGAUCCUGGCUCAGGAUGAACGCUGGCGGCGUGCCUAAUACAUGCAAGUCGAGCGAAUGGAUUAAGAGCUUGCUCUUAUGAAGUUAGCGGCGGACGGGUGAGUAACACGUGGGUAACCUGCCCAUAAGACUGGGAUAACUCCGGGAAACCGGGGCUAAUACCGGAUAACAUUUUGAACUGCAUGGUUCGAAAUUGAAAGGCGGCUUCGGCUGUCACUUAUGGAUGGACCCGCGUCGCAUUAGCUAGUUGGUGAGGUAACGGCUCACCAAGGCAACGAUGCGUAGCCGACCUGAGAGGGUGAUCGGCCACACUGGGACUGAGACACGGCCCAGACUCCUACGGGAGGCAGCAGUAGGGAAUCUUCCGCAAUGGACGAAAGUCUGACGGAGCAACGCCGCGUGAGUGAUGAAGGCUUUCGGGUCGUAAAACUCUGUUGUUAGGGAAGAAACAAGUGCUAGUUGAAUAAGCUGGCACCUGACGUA